CACGCUGUAAUCCCAGCACUUUGGGAGGCCUAGGCGGGUAAAUCGCUUGACGUCAGGAGCUUGAGACCAGCCUGGCCAACAUGGUGAAACCCUGUCUCUA